GGAUGGGAAGGCAAUCUGGCUGCAACAUCUGUCACCCUAUUGAUCACCAGGGCUGAUUUGGCUGAUCUAGCUGGCUAGGCCCAUCUCCCCUUCCUCCCUCAAUGCUCCAUGUGCAUUUCCUGAGGCUGCACACUGGGUUGAAGAGGAUGCCGUUUUGUCAAGGGUGUAGGAAUGGCCGCACUCCACUGCUAGAGCCUCCAAACAGGCUCUCAAGCUCCAUUUGUAGGAGAACAUAUGGUAGUCUAGCUUCUAAGACUCCAGACACAUCUGAAUGAGGUGCUGCAUGUGGCAGUCUGCUUUUCUUU
rnacentral:snRNA from 1 species